GGGGAUUAGUGGCGAACGGGUGAGUAAUAUAUCGGAACGUGCCUUGUAACGGGGGAUAACUAGUCGAAAGAUUAGCUAAUACCGCAUACGCCCUGAGGGGGAAAGUAGGGGAUCUUCGGACCUUACGUUAUAAGAGCGGCCGAUAUCUGAUUAGCUAGUUGGUGGGGUAAUGGCCUACCAAGGCUUCGAUCAGUAGCUGGUCUGAGAGGACGACCAGCCACACUGGAACUGAGACACGGUCCAGACUCCUACGGGAGGCAGCAGUGGGGAAUUUUGGACAAUGGGCGAAAGCCUGAUCCAGCCAUUCCGCGUGAGUGAAGAAGGCCUUCGGGUUGUAAAGCUCUUUCGCAAGGGAAGAAAACUUACAUUCUAAUAAAGUGUGAGGCUGACGGUACCUUGAUAAGAAGCACCGGCUAACUACGUGCCAGCAGCCGCGGUAAUACGUAGGGUGCGAGCGUUAAUCGGAAUUACUGGGCGUAAAGCGUGCGCAGGCGGUUUGGCAAGUCAGAUGUGAAAUCCCCGAGCUCAACUUGGGAACUGCGUUUGAAACUGCCAGACUAGAAUAUGUCAGAGGGGGGUAGAAUUCCACGUGUAGCAGUGAAAUGCGUAGAGAUGUGGAGGAAUACCAAUGGCGAAGGCAGCCCCCUGGGAUAAUAUUGACGCUCAUGCACGAAAGCGUGGGGAGCAAACAGGAUUAGAUACCCUGGUAGUCCACGCCCUAAACGAUGUCUACUAGUUGUUGGUGGAGUAAAAUCCAUGAGUAACGCAGCUAACGCGUGAAGUAGACCGCCUGGGGAGUACGGUCGCAAGAUUAAAACUCNAAGGAAUUGACGGGGGCC
rnacentral:rRNA from 1 species